CACCUCUCAGGAUUGCACCUGGAGAGUUUCCAGUACUCUACCAGUGUCGAUGAAGGGAGGGAGUGCCAAGCAGGGCAUAUCCAUUCCAUUCCUAGCUUGGGCAGUGGCUAGCGAAUGGAAGGCAAUCUACUACAAGU